rnacentral:sRNA from 1 species
UGAUGUGGCAUGGUAAGGGAGGGCAGGAGGAGGAUUCCCCUUGAAGCUUCUUCCCUGCAGCCUCUCCUCUUUUCUCUGGUCUGAGUCCCUCCCCCACACCACUGCCUGCCUGGGACAUGGACCUUUGGGAAAUACGCAGUCAGUUGUUGCCUGCAGAACUGGUGGUGGGGUUGAAGGGGGUUUGAGGGGUUAAGAUUUUGUGCUCCGCUUCCCUGCUAGAGCUGAACUGCUUUCUUCUCUGCCUCCACAACAGGUUCCUGACGGAGACUUCGCCCUUCAUGUGGUCCAACCUGGGCAUUGGCCUAGCUAUCUCUCUGUCUGUGGUUGGGGCAGCCUGGGGCAUCUAUAUUACCGGCUCCUCCAUCAUUGGUGGAGGAGUGAAGGCCCCCAGGAUCAAGACCAAGAACCUGGUCAGGUAAGUGUCAGGGUCCUUGGACUUUUGUCAGAACCAGCUGUGUUGGCGCUGCCUGUGUGUUUGAUCUGACAUACUGUUUCUGACAAGCCACCUUGUGGGAUGGGAUGUUAUAGGGGAAAGAUUGCUGGGGACUUACUGGGCAGGAAGGACGGUUUCUUUCUC